CUUUGUUACUUCUAGGAAUUAGAGAGGCAGUUUAUUUCCUCUCCACCUAGUGCUGCAAAGUGCAGAGAAACCCUGACCGGCUGCGGGAAGAGGAGCAGCCCUGGCACAAAAGUGUAAUCGUAUUUCUGGUUCUGCCUCCUGCUCCUGGUUUUGGAAGAAGGACUGCCACAGACAACCUGCUGUGCCCAUCCAUCUUCCUGAGUGCUUCUGGAGGCCCUUGCACAACAUCCUGCCACAAGGGUGGAAACACAAAACUGCUGUUCACUGGGAGGGCCCUGGAAACCUUUAAAGAAACUGUUAAGACUGCACAUAAGGAAAGUAACUGCUGGUCAACAGCUGGAGUUUUCCUCAGUCCUAUCACUCAGAAAAAAAGGAAUAUAAUGUAGUUUUUUAAAAAGCAAACAAACAAAAAAAACCAAACAAAACCCAAAA